rnacentral:misc_RNA from 1 species
UUAAAUGUCAGGUACACCUACUGAAAAAUGCAAAGCCUUGAGUAUAAACUUGCAUUUUUAUUUGAGGAAUAUUUCAUAGAAACAAAGUUGGACUUGAGCAGUAUUUUUUGUCUCUUCUGAUUUUGUUUAGGAGAUAAUAAAUUCAUGACAUGAUAGAUUUAUUUUAUUGAGGCACAGGGGAAAAAGUCAAAUGCAUAAAACUUAGCUUAAAGGAUUGUUGCUCCAUAUGUGUAGUUUGCUGAUUGACGG